rnacentral:rRNA from 1 species
UAGGGAAUCUUCGGCAAUGGGGGGAACCCUGACCGAGCAACGCCGCGUGAGUGAAGAAGGUUUUCGGAUCGUAAAGCUCUGUUGUUAAGGAAGAACGAGUGUGAGAAUGGAAAGUUCAUACUGUGACGGUACUUAACCAGAAAGGGACGGCUAACUACGUGCCAGCAGCCGCGGUAAUACGUAGGUCCCGAGCGUUGUCCGGAUUUAUUGGGCGUAAAGCGAGCGCAGGCGGUUAGAUAAGUCUGAAGUUAAAGGCAGUGGCUCAACCAUUGUAGGCUUUGGAAACUGUUUAACUUGAGUGCAGGAGGGGGGAAUGGAAUUCCAUGUGUAGCGGUGAAAUGCGUAGAUAUAUGGAGAAACACCGGUGGCGAAAGCGGCUCUCUGGUCUGUAACUGACGCUGAGGCUCGAAAGCGUGGGGAGCGAGCAGG